rnacentral:rRNA from 1 species
UACAGAGGGUGCGAGCGUUAAUCGGAAUUACUGGGCGUAAAGCGCGCGUAGGCGGUUUUGUAAGUCGGAUGUGAAAUCCCCGGGCUUAACCUGGGAACUGCAUUCGAGACUGCAUAACUGGAGUAUUGGAGAGGGCAGUGGAAUUUCCGGUGUAGCGGUGAAAUGCGUAGAUAUCGGAAGGAACAUCAGUGGCGAAAGCGACUGCCUGGCCAAAUACUGACGCUCAUGUGCGAAAGCGUGGGGAGCAAACAGG